rnacentral:rRNA from 1 species
UUUCCUACGGGACGCAGCAGUGGGGAAUAUUGCGCAAUGGGCGAAAGCCUGACGCAGCGACGCCGCGUGAGGGAUGAAGGUCUUCGGAUCGUAAACCUCUGUCAGCAGGGAAGAACGGUCACUGUGCUAAUCAGCAGUGAAUUGACGGUACCUGCAAAGGAAGCACCGGCUAACUCCGUGCCAGCAGCCGCGGUAAUACGUAGGAGGCAAGCGUUAUCCGGAAUGACUGGGCGUAAAGGGUGCGUAGGUGGUUUGACAAGUUGGUAGCGUAACUCCGGGGCUCAACCUCGGCACUACUACCAAAA